ensembl:lncRNA AABR07021213.1
AUUCCGGUUUGCUCAGUGGCAGAGAACUUAGCUCUGUCAUCCUUGACAGCAUUGCUUUAGGGUCUGUGGUGAGUCAAAGUGUCAAGAUCAAGGCAAUGAUGUCUCCCUGAGCAGCAUGGACUACAUGAACUAACACCGAGUGUCUAGGGCACCCCUUGAUUCAUAGAACUAACAGUAUGUGUUUCUCUUCAGAAUACAAGGAGUGUAUGGGAAGUAAACCAAAUACAUUUUGGAGAUAUCAAGUGUCCUGUUGAUACUGAUAAAACAAUACUGGGGAGAGGAUUUUUGACGGAAGAAAAGGAGGAUCUUUGGGGAAUACUAAAAAACACCAGUCAAU